AAAAUACGAAAAGUAAUAUGAAUUGCAGAAACGAAUCAUCAACUAUUUGAACGCACAUUGCGCCCCUUGGUAUUCCAUGGGGCAUGCCUGUUCGAGCGUCAUUUGUACCCUCAAGCUCUGCUUGGUGUUGGGUGUUUGUCCCCGUCUCCGCGCGUGGACUCGCCCCAAAGUGAUUGGCAGCCGGCGUACUGGUCCCGGAGCGCAGCACAUGUCGCGCAAACGAGUGCCUUGGUACGGCGGCGUCCAUAAGCCCCUCUCUCACGCUCUUGACCUCGGAUCAGGUAGGGAUACCCGCUGAACUUAAGC
rnacentral:misc_RNA from 1 species